GUGAACCAUUAGCGAGCUGACUCGAUCCUCCACUUCUGUUCUCUUCUUCAUCUUAUUUCCUCCUCAUUCGUUCGCUGAGUUAAGGUGUUACAUGAAGAUCAUGACAUCCCAAUCACAUAGCUCCCCAGGAUCUUGUAGUCAUGUUGAUUAUGAAAGGUUAUGCAAAUGUGGUCUGUUAGCUUCGUUUAGGACAUCCUGGACAGAAUUUAACUAUGGACGUCGUUUCUAUAAUUGUCCUGCAAUGAAGUGUGACUAUUUUGUCUGGGUUGAUCCUCCUCGACGCAUCCAACAACGAACUAGUAGACAACCAAGGAAUCAAGCGAGUACAUGUUUUGUUAAUCCAGUAGCUGAAGAAGAAGAGAAUAGUGGCCAUGAGAAUGAAGAUGCCAAAAUUAAAAAACUGGUGGAUGGAAUGAAGUCCAGGGACCAAAUGUUGUUGACCGUAGUUUUUGGAAUUCUUGUAGUGGUCCUAAUUACGUUAUUGCUUGUUAUUUUGAAGUUGUAAUUGUUGUGUUUAUUGUCUUCGAAUUCUUGUAUUAGACUAAGUGUGGAUUAUGCUAAAUUUUAGCAUUUUGGUGCUUAAGUACAUUUUGGUGGUUAUAAGUUAAGUACAUUUUUGUGGUUAUAAGUACAUUGCUAAAGUUAUAUGUUUA